GUCCAAGCUCCCCAGCCAUGUAUCCCACCUCUUCUCUCUUUAGGCAUUCCCCAGCACCCGCCGCCCUCCCGAGGGCCUCCCCAGCCGGGCUUCGUGGUGGGGACAUCAGAUAAUAGUAGGUAGGAGCCGGCUUCCAGGAUUCAGAUCCUAGUUCAGCUGCUGCUGACUGGCUGUGUGAUGGAGGAUGAGUUCACCCCAGCCUCAGUUUUCUCAUCUGUCGAAUGGGAUUACAGUCCCUACCACACAGGUAACUUAACUGCGUUAACUUUAGUGAAGCACUUACAAGAGUGUGAGCUAUCGCUAACUUAAUCAUCCCCAGAAAUCCUGUAAGACGGGACUGUCAACCCUGCUUGACAGACGAGGAUAAGUCAUUCCCUCAGCCUUCUGCGGUUCCAGGACGGUAGACAACAUCACAAGAAAUGUAAACACGGUAGCUAAAUGCUGAGCAGGAGGGAAGCAAAGAGGUUGCCUCAGGUCAGCGUGGGUCUGUUAAGAAAGCCUCCUCCUCCCCUUCCCCACCACCUGCCCCCACCCCCUGCACUGCAGAAGCUGACCAGGUAUUUAGCCCCGGGCUCUAGGGCUUAAGAAGCCUCAAGGGAAAGACCACUAGCAGCUACUGGCCGCCAGGAAGGCCCAUAUAAAGCUCGGUGAGGAGCCUGAACUUGAUCCCAAGGGAGGGGCCGGGGAAGGCCCAUGUGUGUGACAAGGGUAGGUCUGUCUAGCUCCCGGGCAGGGAGUGACUGGAGGACCAGCAAGAAACAAGUUCGGCAGACAUUUGGGUGAGGCGAAGGCGGCCUAGGUGGCCCUGAAUCACUUCCUCUCCGAGGGCUGCUUCCCUCUCCUGCCCAGACAGGGCCAACUCAGCCAGGCCUCCAAGCUCCCUUCCACAUCUGCCCGCACCCACCCCACCCCCCCCCCACCCCCCCGCAGAACUCAUCCCGCCCCCUUCACCCUGGCUUCCACCAAACCCUCCCUCCCUCGAGCCGCACAGCACCGCAUCUGUUUGGGGUUCAAUGCCCACUCCGGCCUCUCCCUAAUCAGGUUCGAUGGGCUGGCUAUAAUUUUUCCUAAUGCACUCUGAAAAUCUGUAUAUUUUUACAAUAAAGAUGUUCACCUCUGCACACCCAAAGCCAUUAUCUACCUCCCGAGGGAAACGCUGGCCGAGGAAGACCUCCGCAGCCUCUUGUGCCCCCUGCAUCUCCCUGCUGCACUCCUGGAAACCGAGAACCUGGGCUGCCUCCCCUCCCGCUUCCCAACUUCCCUCCAUCUGGACCGCCCUUGGUCAGACUGUUCCUGCUCACACAGUAAAAAUUUAAAUGCAGCAACAGGGCGUUUAUCCACAGCUGACCACGUAAGUGGCAUUUUCUGUUGUCACGAAGCCACAUCCCACUGCUAAGCUUGCCUACGCACGAGGAUGAUGAUUAAGGAAGAAGGGCUGAUCCCAUUUUCUUAUUCAUCCCCCAAAAAACCAGACUGCCAAGUAGAAUGACUGUCAGCCUCCUUUGGGGAGACGCCCUUACCUGCUGGCUUCAAGGAGUAUCUCCCUGGCAGCCAGAUUCCCAUUAACACAUAACGCAGAGCCUCACGCAAAACAGGCUUUACUGAGAGAGGGGCUGGUGGGAGGAGACCUGCAGUCAGGAAUCCGGAUUCUGUGCCCAGCGCUGUUGCCAACACCGUCCAUCCUCCCAGAGCCUCGUCCAUCCUCCCAGAGCCUCGUCCAUCCUCCCAGAGCCUCCGUCCAUCCUCCCAGAGCCUCGUCCAUCCUCCCAGAGCCUCCGUCCAUCCUCCCAGAGCCUCCGUCCAUCCUCCCAGAGCCUCGUCCAUCCUCCCAGAGCCUCCGUCCAUCCUCCCAGAGCCUCUGGAGUUUCUGUAACUUGGGACUCUGUGCUUGAGUGGGGAGGGGUCCCUUCCAGCUCUGACAGACUGAGAAAGAUGUGGUCACCAGGAAGGACAGAGCAAGAGCCAUUUACAAAGGAGUCUACACAGAGAGAGAGCCCGAAGUUUAGCUCAGAAGAGCAGAUCCAACUCCCAGCCCGCUGGCGGGCUGGCGGGUCACACGGAGCCCCAACCAUGUGCCAAGGUAAGGACAAGGCAGUGGAGACGCCUGGGGGAGCAGGUGGAGGGAAGGCGCAGGCUCUCAACCUCCGGGAGCCUGCACGGGUCUCGGGAAGUGGCUCUGGAAGCGUGGUCUGUACCCAGCAGACGGGUAUCCAGGGGCCACCUGGGGACCAUCCAAGGCUGGAGGGGAAAAGGCCACCGCGGGGCAGCAGAAGGCAGAGGCAGGAGGACCCUUCGAGGGGCACGACAGGCCAGGAAAAAGGAUCAACUUCCUUAACUACGAUGUUUCACUGCAUACUGGUAACCAACACACUUACUUGCCUAUUUAAAAACUCCAGUGGUCAUUUUGUGAUGUAUGAAAAUAUCAAAUCACUGUGUUGUGCACAGGGAACUAACAUAGUGUUGUAGGUCAGUUAUACUUUAAACACACACACACACACACACACACACACAACAAUAACUCCACCAGUCCUCAGCAAAAUAGUUCUGGCCUUCCACCCCCUUGCAGAAAUUCACAGAUUUAAGACACUGGAUUAGGCCGUCGUUGUCUUUCAAGGGCUCGCCUCCCUGCACUGACACCUGGACACUUGACUACAUAUAGGCCACGUAUUUCAAGACGCAUUUCCCAGCUACUGCUAUACACAACUAAAGCCAGACCAAACCAUAGCAAAGAAAAUCCUAAGGAUCUGUUUAGGUUUGCAAUGUCGGCAGCGAAGUGCAAACAGAGCUGGCUCUGGUGAGAACUUCAGUUAUGAAAUAUAAAAAAAAAAAAAGAAAAUCCUAAGCAGUCCUUCACACCAGUUUUCCAGAAAACCCCACCAAAGGUGUAUUUCCCCUUCAACUUCUGACUUUACCAGGCUGUCAGGAAGCAAACCACCUGCUCUUUUCUAGAUGGAUCCAGAGAAAGGUCUGGUCUUAAACAAAGACCCUCCCCUCUCCACACUCCCCUCUCCCACCGCCGUCCCCACUCCCACCCACCACCUCAGUGACGGGGCCGCUGAGCCAGGAUCACUCAACCUGAAGACGGACAGAAAGGACCAGACUUCGAAGAGAGUUAGGAUUCGCCUCUGAGCACGUCGCUGCCAGGUGGAGGACUCUGGGCUCCCAGACACCCAGCUGUGACACCUCCCGCUGCAAAGAUGGUGAGAGGCUGUGCUGGUGGCCGAGAGCACUGCACACCCCCUCCUUCAGGAGACACUUGAAAGGGACCACACUCCCCCCUUGAAGCCCCAUCUCAAGCGGUAGAAUGUCCUCUCCAGUUUGGUCCUGCCUCCGACCCCAGAGUCUCCCCCAAGCCCUGGGGAAGGGGCGCCUCUGGCCUCUCCUAGGAGCUGAUGAUGUGGCCGGACCAGGUCUCGUGCUUGGUGCCCGGCGCCAGGUGGGUGAUGACCACCUCCACGGCCUGCAGCUUCUCGUUCUUGGGCGGGAUGGAGCACAUCUUAUAGGUGACCUCAUCGCCUUCCACGGGGACGUACUCCCCCUCCACGCUGUGGGGCGGGGAGAGAGCACUCAGGGCGGGCACUCAGAGAAGCCAGGACACCAGCCCUCGCAGAGGAACUGCCCCCCUGCCCUGCCACCAGGGGGCAUCACCAUGGCCCUCUGGUCGUGGCUGAGAAGCCCCAGACCCAAUCAGCUCCUUCCCUGGGACCUCGGUUGCUGAGACAGAGGUGGAGCCCCACCCCUUGGGGGUGCUCACAUUGCACGUUAAACGAGGGCACCGUGGGCCUGAUGGAGGGAAGAGCGGGGAAAGGCAGUCUGAGCCCGAGUUGGGGGAUGGCCCGGGUGAGGGUUUCCUGAGCAGCACCCCAACCCCCUGCCCCAUCCAGGAGUCCCAGAAACCAGGCUACCCCUCUGCUGUUCAACUCCUCAGAACCCCAGUGAGCUUUCCAGAAAGUCCUUUUCCCUUACUUUCUAUGGGACAUGAGUCACCGUCUCACCCGUGAUAGGGAGGUGCCCGGCUUGAUGCCCCCUUGAUGAAACCCCAGGAGGAAAAUCCCCUUCAGAUCCUGAGCACCAAGACCAGCCAGCUCCCCCGGAACUGGUUUGCCUUGACUGAAGAAUAACAUCGCAGAUGGUGCUGCCCUCUUUGAUUUGGCCACCAGGAAGCUCAGGAAUAAACGUGUAGCCCACUUCUA